CUCUUUCCGGCAUGGGUUUCUGCCCAGCUCACCCGCUGUCAGCUGGGGUCCUGCUCGGGUGGGAGGAAGAGGCUCAGACGCUUCCCUGCCCUCUCGCCUCAACCACCUCGGGGCAGCGUCUCCCAGGAUGUGCACUUUGACGACUAAAGCUGAGCCGGCGCCGCCACGACCUUGGGCGGGUGGUCGGCCUCUGCCCUGAGCAGGAAGUAGAAAGUCUCAGCAGACCCUUCCUGAGGGCCGAGCAACACUGUAGUGGUGUAUUCCACAUAGCAAACAGGGUGAAAAUGGAAAUUCACCUGUGGAACUCACUGGCCAUUGUGGAAGAAACAGUAAGAUGACCCUCCCUUCAUUGUGCUGGUCAAUAUGGUGAGUUCCUUGAAGAUGAGGGCCAAGUCUUAUUCUUCUCAGUCUCUUCUGCAUCUAGCAGAAGAAUAAUUGUUGCACAGAAAAUCUUGGUUCAGUGGUUGAGUGAAUGAAUGGAUGAACAGGCUCUUGCACACAAGGAAGAGACAUGAUGUAUCUGCAUCCUUCCCUGCUUCAGCCAGUUUUCUGAAGCUCAGAGGGACACCUUGUAUUGCUGGAUGAUAAAAACAGGAGCAAAGUGACGAAGUGCUGACAAGGCAACAACAGAACAUGAGAGAUUCACUGCUGUGUGGGAAGAGAUCUUCAGUGACCAUGUAGCCUGAAGCUCUCAUUUUGUCAUCGAGGGACACCAAAACUCAGAGCAGUGCUAAGCUCCUACAUGCUGUUCUGGAAGGAUAAUCCUGAGCACACGAUGAGCCAUAUAAACUUCAGACUGACGCUGAGUGAAAGAAUGCUGGAAAAGCAUCACAGGCCAGGGCAGCAAAGUCUUCAAGGUUGUCCGUGCUCUGAUGAUAUCACACUUCUUCCCUGUCUGGAAGACAUUUCCCCAAGAGUGUACCACCAACAUCAGGGAAACGGAAUCCAACUGGUCGCUCAAAGUUUGCUGAGCACAUAAUGAUAAAGACAGCAAGAAGGUCCGGAGAGAAAUGCAAUAUUUUUGUGCAGAAUGUGAUGUUCUGCCUUUGUUCCGUGCUUUGAAAUUUACCACAUGAAAAAUAAAAUUAAAUACUGAUCAUCA